rnacentral:lncRNA from 1 species
AAAUGUUUGUAAAGAAAGGUUAUUGUAUAUACCAUCCAUUUCUCUUCUUAAAUAUUAUCAAUUUCAUUAUAUCACUAGCCGUCAACGUCGCGUUGCCGUCCUAUAUCUUAAGCUCUCUAGUAAACGCCUUCUGAAAUGCCUUAUAAUUUUCGGAGCUUUCUGAUUGGAGAAUUACGGUCACAUCGGAACAUAUGAUAUGAUCAUAGAUAUCUUAUGUACACUAGAUAGCGCAUCUCUUUUAGUAAAAUUGAAGCCAAGAAUAUUCCAGCGGUUACCCCCAUUUGAAUAGAUGGCAGCCAUGUUGGUCGUUCCCA